rnacentral:rRNA from 1 species
AGAGUUUGAUCCUCGCUCAGAUUGAACGCUGGCGGCAGGCCUAACACAUGCAAGUCGAGCGGUAGAGAGGAGCUUGCUUCUCUUGAGAGCGGCGGACUGGCGAGUAAUGCCUAGGAAUCUGCCUAGUGGUGGGGGAUAACGUUCGGAAACGGACGCUAAUACCGCAUACGUCCUACGGGAGAAAGCGGGGGAUCUUCGGACCUCGCGCCAUUAGAUGAGCCUAGGUCGGAUUAGCUAGUUGGUGAGGUAAUGGCUCACCAAGGCGACGAUCCGUAACUGGUCUGAGAGGAUGAUCAGUCACACUGGAACUGAGACACGGUCCAGACUCCUACGGGAGGCAGCAGUGGGGAAUAUUGGACAAUGGGCGAAAGCCUGAUCCAGCCAUGCCGCGUGUGUGAAGAAGGUCUUCGGAUUGUAAAGCACUUUAAGUUGGGAGGAAGGGUCGUAACCUAAUACGUUACGGCUUUGACGUUACCGACAGAAUAAGCACCGGCUAACUUCGUGCCAGCAGCCGCGGUAAUACGAAGGGUGCAAGCGUUAAUCGGAAUUACUGGGCGUAAAGCGCGCGUAGGUGGUUCAGCAAGUUGGAUGUGAAAGCCCUGGGCUCAACCUGGGAACUGCAUCCAAAACUACUGAGCUAGAGUACGGUAGAGGGUAGUGGAAUUUCCUGUGUAGCGGUGAAAUGCGUAGAUAUAGGAAGGAACACCAGUGGCGAAGGCGACUACCUGGACUGAUACUGACACUGAGGUGCGAAAGCGUGGGGAGCAAACAGGAUUAGAUACCCU